rnacentral:rRNA from 14 species
GAGCGUACGGUGGAUGCCUUGGCACCAGGAGCCGAUGAAGGACGUAGGAGGCUGCGAUAAGCCUCGGGGAGCUGUCAACCGAGCUGAGAUCCGAGGGUGUCCGAAUGGGGAAACCCAGCACGAGUGAUGUCGUGUUACCUGCACCUGAAUAUAUAGGGUGUGUGGAGGGAACGUGGGGAAGUGAAACAUCUCAGUACCCACAGGAAGAGAAAACAACAGUGAUUCCGUCAGUAGUGGCGAGCGAACGCGGAAGAGGCCAAACCAUGUGCAUGUGAUACCCGGCAGGGGUUGUGCGUGUGGGGUUGUGGGGUUUGUCUUGUCGAUUCUGCCGGAUCGGCCGACAGUAAGAAAUCAUGCGGUUAGUCGAAGUGGUCUGGGAUGGCCUGUCGUAGAGGGUGAGAGUCCCGUAGACGAAAACUGUGUGACUGUCGUGAUGAAUGCCCAAGUAGCAGCGGGCCCGUGAAAUCUGCUGUGAAUCUGUCGGGACCACCCGAUAAGCCUGAAUACUCCCUGGUGACCGAUAGCGGACUAGUACCGUGAGGGAAAGGUGAAAAGUACCCCGGGAGGGGAGUGAAAUAGUACCUGAAACCGUGUGCCUACAAUCCGUUGGAGCUUCAUGUUUACAUGGGGUGACAGCGUGCCUUUUGAAGAAUGAGCCUGCGAGUUAGUGAUGCGUGGCGAGGUUAACCCGUGGUGGGGGAGUCGUAGCGAAAGCGAGUCCGAUAAGGGCGUGAGUCGCGUGUUCUAGACCCGAAGCGGUGUGAUCUAUCCAUGGCCAGGAUGAAGGUGCCGUAACAGGUACUGGAGGUCCGAACCCACUAGUGUUGCAAAACUAGGGGAUGAGCUGUGGAUAGGGGUGAAAGGCUAAACAAACUUGGAAAUAGCUGGUUCUCUCCGAAAACUAUUUAGGUAGUGCCUCGUGUCUCACCUUCGGGGGUAGAGCACUGUCAUGGUUGGGGGGUCUAUUGCAGAUUACCCCGCCAUAGCAAACUCCGAAUACCGAAGAGUGCAAUCACGGGAGACAGACAUCGGGUGCUAACGUCCGGUGUCAAGAGGGAAACAACCCAGACCGCCAGCUAAGGUCCCCAAAUAUAGCUAAGUGGGAAACGAAGUGGGAAGGCUAAAACAGUCAGGAGGUUGGCUUAGAAGCAGCCAUCAUUUAAAGAAAGCGUAAUAGCUCACUGAUCGAGUCGUCCUGCGCGGAAGAUGUAACGGGGCUAAGCAGAUAACCGAAGCUGCGGAUGUACACGUAAGUGUAUGUGGUAGGGGAGCGUUCUGUAAGCCUGCGAAGGUGUGUUGUAAAGCAUGCUGGAGGUAUCAGAAGUGCGAAUGCUGACAUGAGUAGCGA